rnacentral:rRNA from 1 species
GAUGAACGCUGGCGGCGUGCCUAAUACAUGCAAGUCGAGCGAACAGACGAGGAGCUUGCUCCUCUGACGUUAGCGGCGGACGGGUGAGUAACACGUGGAUAACCUACCUAUAAGACUGGGAUAACUUCGGGAAACCGGAGCUAAUACCGGAUAAUAUAUUGAACCGCAUGGUUCAAUAGUGAGAGACGGUUUUGCUGUCACUUAUAGAUGGAUCCGCGCCGCAUUAGCUAGUUGGUAAGGUAACGGCUUACCAAGACAACGAUGCGUAGCCGACCUGAGAGGGUGAUCGGCCACACUGGAACUGAGACACGGUCCAGACUCCUACGGGAGGCAGCAGUAGGGAAUCUUCCGCAAAGGGCGAAAGCCUGACGGAGCAACGCCGCGUGAGUGAUGAAGGUCUUCGGAUCGUAAAACUCUGUUAUUAGGGAAGAACAAAUGUGUAAGUAACUAUGCACGUCUUGACGGUACCUAAUCAGAAAGCCACGGCUAACUACGUG